rnacentral:lncRNA from 1 species
ACUGAUGAUGAAGGUGACAUGAUGCUUGUUGGAGAUGAUCCAUGGCAGUAAGUACUUACCCUUGUUUCAUAUAUACAUCAAAGUGAUGAUAUUUAAUACAUGUGCCAGUUUCAUAGUUGGAUCAAAGUGAUGAUAUGUAGUACUUACCCUUGUUUCAUAUAUACAUCAAAGUGAUGAUAUUUAGUACUUACCCUUGUUUCAUAUAUACAUCAAAGUGAUGAUAUUUAGUACUUACCCUUGUUUCAUAUAUACAUCAAAGUGGUGAUUUUUUUCCUCCAUUUGCGCUGCUUCUUGUCUAGUCUUUCUGGAUCAGUGCUGUGUGUUCUUGGUGUUUGUUACAUGUCUUACCGGCUUAACAAAUGUUUGAAACAGGG